AGUGAACGCUGGCGGUAGGCCUAACACAUGCAAGUCGAACGGCAGCACAGUAAGAGCUUGCUCUUACGGGUGGCGAGUGGCGGACGGGUGAGGAAUACAUCGGAAUCUACUUUUUCGUGGGGGAUAACGUAGGGAAACUUACGCUAAUACCGCAUACGACCUACGGGUGAAAGCAGGGGAUCUUCGGACCUUGCGCGAUUGAAUGAGCCGAUGUCGGAUUAGCUAGUUGGCGGGGUAAAGGCCCACCAAGGCGACGAUCCGUAGCUGGUCUGAGAGGAUGAUCAGCCACACUGGAACUGAGACACGGUCCAGACUCCUACGGGAGGCAGUAGUGGGGAAUAUUGGACAAUGGGCGCAAGCCUGAUCCAGCCAUACCGCGUGGGUGAAGAAGGCCUUCGGGUUGUAAAGCCCUUUUGUUGGAAAAGAAAAGCAGCAGGUUAAUACCCCGCUGUUCUGACGGUACCCAAAGAAUAAGCACCGGCUAACUUCGUG
rnacentral:rRNA from 1 species